CCAACUCCUUUCUCAGCUAGUAUGCAUCAGAGUUGUCUGGUGAUAUUCCUGACAUUUUUUUUAUUAACUUCCAAGACACUCUCUUGGAAACAUAGGGAAAGAAAUUGCAGGGCAUUUGAUUCCCUUAAAGAAAUAAGUUUGUUUUUAUCCUUGUGAAAAAGUUUUUGAAUAUCCUCUGUGUAUGCAAACAUAUUUUGAGUUACUAUUGACAAAAUUAGGUACUUUUACUUUCUUUGCUUUUUCAUUGCUAUACUGCAGAUAUUCCUCUAUAGACGAGAAAGCUGUGUAUUGAAAUCACAACAGGAAUGGCACAGCUAGUGUUGUGAGAGGUGUGGUGGAAGAGAGGUCAAGGGCUGGGUCAUUCAGAGUCCCAAGGACACAUGAGAAGCCAUCAAGGCUUGAUCCAACUAAUGUUUUAAAAAGAUGGCUCGGAGGUCAAGACACAGAAGAAGCUUCUAACCCUGGGGAGAUUUUAAAAUGUAGUGAUGCCUGGGUCCUACCCUAGACCAAUUUAAAGCAGGAUCUCUGUGAAGGGGUGAGGGUUUGGGAGUGCGUUAGAGGUGAUUCUCUCCUGUGUAGCCUGGAACUGGGAUCCAUUGAGAAAAAUGGAUCUCUCACAGCAUGGUGCCUGGAUAGGCUUUUUUUACCCUGCUGGUGGGGAACAUUUAAUACAAAGGAAAACAAUUAACUGAAACCUCUUGCACCAGUGCAGGUGUUAGGUUUAUUCUCAGUAACUCAAACACAAAAGCAUUCUAAUCAAUAGGCUAAAAUGCUCUACCACCUAACUUUGAUAGAAAUCAAAGAGAGUAGAGGGAAGCCUAAGGACUAGAAGGAGCCUGUGAUAUUAAUUAUGUAUCAGCCAAAAAUAACACCAUCCAGCAUACCAUACCUCCCUGUGUACUUUUAGUUGGAAAUACGUCAUUUGCCCUGCACACACCAAACUAUUCCCGCUAAGGCCCUAUUAAGGAACUAUUUGGGGCCAUGUGGAAUCAGUUAAGUUCCACAAUGCUGUGAACUACUGUGUUGUGAAGCUGCCUGAGCUGUUCUCCAACUAAUGAACCAUAUCAUUAAUUACAGUCACCUCAAAUAAAAACGCCUGAAAGGCAAGCAUGAUAUACACAAUAAAUAAAAAGGUCGUGAUUUGCAAAGGGGCCAGCUCAUUCUGAAGCAAUUGUCUCUUGUUUUCCUGGGCUGUAAUUGGAGACAUUAAUUUGAUUUAUCACACUGGGCUGGGAAAGAUCUUGCAGUUCCAGGAGAUUAGAGAGCUGUGAAAUCUGUGACCCCCCAAAGUGCUUUCACCAAGUGCAGACAACGCGUUUCAGAUCAGGUUUAUUAUUGAAGUGACUCUUUCCAAAGAGAAAGAUAAAUUGCAGAGAAUAAUGCUCUCAAAAACCCUUCCAUUCAUUUUUCAAUGUGACACUUCUGGUUUUGAAGGUAAGGGUAAAUUAAGCAGCCUUACUUACUACUAACAAGAUCAGAUGAUUAUAAAAUUAUUUUAUUUGAUGGUAGUGAUUGUUAAGUUUUUUAAGUGACUGAAACAUUUUCUAAGAGAAAUAAGCCUCUGUUGCUAACAUUCCUUACAAAAAUGUUGUGUGGUGGUUUAUCUUUCCUUUUCUAUUGCUUUAUGAGUGUUUAUAUAUUCAUAGUUGACUUUUUACAUAUAUUAAGAGAAAUUCCUUAAUGCCCAAUUUAUCUGUCUAAAUAUUCAUAGGAUGGAAAUUACUCUGUUAAAUAUAUCAUUGUAGCCAUAGCGAAAACAAUUCUUUGUAAUUCUCUAAAGAUUCUCAUUUAAAAGGUAGGACAUCAUCAAUUAAAUAUCAGUUAUUUAUUGGUCCUAAAAAAUAAAAGAAACAUUAUUCGCCUAUUUAUUCAAAGAGCCAAUCUGUGCUAACUUCAGGAACAGAAACUCUUGAUACUGACCAUUAAUCAAAUGCGUACAAUGUGCUACGGCCCUGACAUCAGGUGACACCUCUAAAAUGCCUCUUUAUACCCUAUGCAAGUUCACGCCAUGGGUCCUGGGAGGGCAGGGACUCACAUCUGUUUUGCUCACAAUAUAGUCCCAGUGUCUGGCACAUCAUAGGUGCUUAAUAAUAUUUGUUGAGCAACUAACUGGACAAAUAUCUUGGAUCUCGGGCUUUCCAGAGGUUAAAUGUGACCCAGGAUGUUUUCAUUUUCUUCAGAUUCCUUUUAAAUGCAACAUGUUGUAAAAAGGUGUCAUGGUAUGUGAGAACUUUUCAUAGAGUCUCUGACAUCCCCCUUUUGGCCCCCAAGAUUGUCUCUGAGAAUGGUGGCAAAGGUCUAAAUGUACCACCUUUUUAUGGAUAGAAGACCUGCUCAAGGUCCGCAUGUCCUUCUGUCCUCUAUCUGCCCUUCACCUGCCCCAUGACAGCCUGGCUUGCACCCACGCAAAGGGAUUUCUGGAAAGGACAACAUUACAGAACAGUCUUCCCAUAGUGCUGUCUGUACUCCAGGCCCUGGGCCCAAUUUACCCCACAGGAUUUUUAUAAUCUGAUAAUCUGGAGCAUUAUUACUAUUUCAAGGGCAAUUUUAGCUAAAAACAGGUUUAGUUGAAAGUCCCAUUAAGCUGAUGUACUGGGAAAAGAAUGGUGUUGGCAAUUUGCAGAGGGGUGUGGGGACUUCAGGCCAACAGAGCAGGAACCAGGGUUCUAGAUAGAGAGACCAUCCUAAGGAGAACUCUUUGCAGAGUGAAAGGAGGUAUUGCAUAUGAUGCUGGGGCAGCCAGCUAAACCCAGGCUGUGUCUGACAAAGUCAUGUGGUAGGGCUCAUUUUGUUCUUUAGUUCCCGUUUCCUGUGUCUUCUUCAGCACUGAAAAUCACAUCAGUUUGUUGGAUCUUGAACCCCACUAAGGACCUGGUGAAAGUCAAGACUAUUUGCAGGAAAAUGCACAAGCGCAAAGACCCACAAAACAGUGCUUUUGAUGUCUAGGGGUUUGUGAGCCAUCAGACCCCCCCAUUCACAGGUCUGAAAUCAAAGACCUCCUGAAACUUGAUGUAUCUUUAAUGAUUUUCAAAACAAGUCUUUUACACCGUAGUGUGACACUCCACUUCCCCUGUAUUUUUUUUCCCUUCCUUUGGCUAAACCACAGUGUUACCUUAGCAAACAGAAUAUUAGACCAACAUGCUGAGCCAAUGGGUGCCAAGGCAGUGGUUUUUCAGAGAAAAGAGCCACAUGAAAGUCCCCUGAGCUGCCUCUCUGUAUUUGUAACUGUUCAGUGGUUGGGAGACUAGAGAAAAUAACAGCCAAUAGGUGUAACAUCUGAAUUUGCAGAAGGGCUAAAGGCAGCCAAAACUGUAAAAUGUCUCCACUUUGGGAAAUGAACAAAUACUUGAAUUCACUGAGCAACUCAAUUAUUUUCAUUUCAGUUUUAUUAGAGGGUUAUAUAAUAUCUAAAUGUACAAGGAAGGUUAAAAAAGUAGUCAAAACAAAUAAAAAUUGGGAGAGUGGCUGGCAUCUCAGAGAGGUCUCCAAGGAAUGUGGGGACAUUUCCACUGUGUUGAAUGGGAAUCAAUAAUUGCCUAGAAAAUGUCUUCUGGAAGCACAGUGGCAUUUAAUUAACAAAGUCUCUAAUCAUAAGAAAAGUGCUGGGUGGCUCUGGGUCAACGAAGAGAAGGCAGGGACAUUGACUAGGCAAGGAGUCUGUUAAGAGGUGAAACUAUCUAUCAGCUCAGCUUUCUUUGCCUUUCACUGGAAAUAUUUCCAGUUGCCAUGAGAAAUCUCUGGAGUCCUAAAUUAGGACCUCCUUCCUUGCUGUAACCUUGGGGCUGAAUGAAUCCCCUACUACCAUUCCUCCUCGGCUGAGUGAUCCCCAUAAAACAAACAAGAAAUGGUCAAUUGACUGCCCUCGUGACAGGGCCAUGUAAGAGGAGGUCUCGUGGGGGCCCCAUGCUUCCUGUUGCCUUGGACACCUUCUGCUCUUGGAGGUUGGCUGUCUGGCCACAAUUCUGUCAAUAAUUGAAAGACACCCUCACUUGUUGGCUAGGUAUGUGUAUGCGUGGGCUGCAGGGAGGGACAUGAAGCCUGACAACCUUGAACACGUCCCUUCCAGAUGACACCCAGAGAGGCAGAACCGUAAGAAAGGGGAAUGGGAGACUCUAGAGGUUUUUUGCUUCCGUUGAUCCUCCAAAUAAAAUAAUUUGACCAUUCUCAUGGUUUAGCCCAUCUCUGCAUCAAAAAGCAAAUGACCAUUUGGCAGUGCCUAAGAAAUAACUGUAUUUAAGUAAAAAUUAAGGUACAAAAAUCUUUGGGGAAACCACUGAUGAAGAACUAGAUAUACACGUGAUGCUAAUGUAUGAUCUACAGAUACUUCUAGCUCAUAACUGGAACACCUGUCACUGUUAUUAUCUUAAAUAGAGAUUGAUCUCGACUCACCUAGAGAUGGGGGCACCAGCCCCUGGUGGAAGGCAGUGGGAAUGCAUCAUUUACAAAGCAUUCAGGCCGAAAACAUGAAAGGGAUUCUAAAAUCUAGGAAAUUCUAGGGGUACUAGGAAUUCUAGGGAAAAUCUAGAGAUUCUAGGAAAUCGGGGAGGGGGAUGGAGGAGUAAGUUUAUCAACACUGUGAGGAACCAAUUAAACAAAUUCAGAAGGUGGGGGUUCCACAGGACAAGUGUCCUGAUCUCUUUAACCAGUUUAAAUGUUUUAGGAAAAUAAAGUGUGGUUGGUGGUGAGGCCUGUUCUGAUGAAAAAAAGACUCAGGAGAAGUAAUGCUCUAAAAAAGUAUGAAUUUUCAUCUUAGACUGAACAAAGUAGUUUUAAAAGAUAUUUGGGGACAAUGAGGGAAAUGGGAACAUAGACUGGACUCAGAGGAUAUCAGGCAAUUAUUAAUCUUGUUAGGAGUGAUGCUGAGUUUUGGUUGUGUAGAAUAAUGACCUUCUUCGGGAUUCAUACGGAACUAUUUUAGGAUAAAACAUCUUGAGGUCUAUAAUUUACUUUAACAU
rnacentral:lncRNA from 1 species